UGGCCGGCUUUCUCGUCGCAUGGUACGCGCGUUCGUUAGGUAUGCGACACGUAUGGCGUACCUACACCCAGUCGAGCUGCCGUACGCUCGUAGAAAGGCCGUUUGAAGGACAAGGGUCACGUCUGAACAACGAUACAUAUUUGCAGAGGGCGUGCGUGACGUAGAAGAUCGAAAGAGAAGCCAUCUAAUCCGAUAACCUCAAAUUUACGACUUUUACGCUCGCCUAUACGACGAAAGAAGCUUUGACACGCAAGAUCUCCGAAGGUCCGCGUAAUUAAUCGAUUGUCGGCCGUCACGCUUCGGGAAAAAAAAAUGUAUGGAAAGAAUAAAAAAAAAAAAAAAGAUAUACACGUUACAUACAUACAUAUAUAGAUAUAUAUAUAUAUAUAUAUAUAUAUAUUUAUAUAUACAUAUAUGCAUACAUAAAUAUAUUCGUUAUCCUCGAGGCUCGACGAGACGACGCUCGACGAUCAUAUCGCAUUCCAAACGAGACUACAGAUGCUUUAGCCGGCACUGUCGCGUGUCUCUCGGAACACGUUAUUUUUUUUUUUUCCCUCUUCCAUUUGUGUUUACACACACGCACAUGGACGCACACAGUUAGCAUAGAUACACCUUGCCGUAUCUGCUGCGUGCCGAUUGGUAUGCGACAGGAAAGGUCGACUUCUUGAGAUCUUCGAGGCGUUGCGAGCAAUUCGAUGUGUGUCCAUGAUCUUUUCGUUAGAAUCACGGAACUCACUACGAAUCCAUCCUCCGUUCGUCCUCUGUCUCUGAUGAAGAAAAAGGAAAGGAAAAUAUGGGGGGAGUGAUACAAAAGAAAGAAAAAAAAGAAAAGAAAGUAGAUCGUUAUUAUUCAUGAUUAUUCGCCGAACGAGAAAAUCUUUCUUCUUCUCUAAUCGUUGAAAUGCGCGUUUAUUGAUUUCACAGAAUUCCGAUUAAUUCCGUUCACUUUAUCGGGAAUAAUAGAAUGUAAUGGGUAAAAAUAGAUGGAACUGUUUAUUUAGCGAUUUAGCAUUAAUAUAUACAUAUGUACAUAUAUGUAUCUCUUGGAUGGAUACGGCGUUGGAUCAACGAUCGAUCGUUCAAGCACUUAUUACCCUCGAGCGUCUGGCGCGCCUCAUUUCUAUAAAGCCAAGUGGGCGGUUUAUAUCUCGGCGGAUAGUUAAAAGACAAACGAGAGAUCGUAAGCCAAAAGAGAAGGAUAAAAAAAAAA